CGCGUAGGCGGCUCGGUAAGUUUGGAGUGAAAGUCCUGGCUUUAAGUUGGGAAUUGCUUUGAAAAACUGUCGGGCUUGAGUGCAGGAGAGGUUAGUGGAAUUCCCAGUGUAGCGGUGAAAUGCGUAGAGAUUGGGAGGAACACCAGUGGCGAAGGCGACUAACUGGACUGUAACUGACGCUGAGGCGCGAAAGUGUGGGGGAGCAAACA
rnacentral:rRNA from 1 species